rnacentral:rRNA from 1 species
CGGCAACAGCUCAAAUUUGAAAUCUGGCCCUUGGGUCCGAAUUGUAAUUUGUAGAGGAUGAUUUUGGUGCGGUAUCUUCCGAGUUCCUUGGAACAGGACGCCUUAGAGGGUGAGAGCCCCGUACGG